rnacentral:rRNA from 1 species
AUUUAAGUGAAGAGUUUGAUCCUGGCUCAGAGUGAACGCUGGCGGCAGGCCUAACACAUGCAAGUCGAACGGCAGCACAGAGGAGCUUGCUCCUUGGGUGGCGAGUGGCGGACGGGUGAGGAAUACAUCGGAAUCUGCCUAUUUGUGGGGGAUAACGUAGGGAAACUUACGCUAAUACCGCA